rnacentral:rRNA from 1 species
GUCCUAGCUGUAAACGUUGGGUGCUAGGUGUGGGGGAUAUCGACCCCUUCCGUGCCGAAGCUAACGCAUUAAGCACCCCGCCUGGGGAGUACGGCCGCAAGGCUAAAACUCAAAGGAAUUGACGGGGGCCCGCACAAGCGGCGGAGCAUGCGGCUUAAUUCGAUGCGACGCGAAGAACCUUACCUGGGCUUGACAUGCAGGGUGAAACCGGCGAAAGCCGGUGCUCUUCGGAGCCUGCACAGGUGGUGCAUGGCUGUCGU